GCCCCCGUAGCUCAAUGGACAGAGCACCAGUCUUCUAAACUGAUGGUUGCGCGUUCGAAUCGCGCCGGGGGUA
rnacentral:tRNA from 1 species